GACUCUGUUAUGCAAUAGUGUGUUAAGUACAUAGGAUUUCCAUAGCACUUAACACAUUAAUGCAUAACAGUGUCCAAUUAUCAACCGCUACAAAAUAAAAACUACUUAG